GGUAGCACAGAGGAGCUUGCUCCUCGGGUGACGAGUGGCGGACGGGUGAGUAAUGUCUGGGAAACUGCCCGAUGGAGGGGGAUAACUACUGGAAACGGUAGCUAAUACCGCAUAACGUCGCAAGACCAAAGUGGGGGACCUCCGGGCCUCACACCAUCGGAUGUGCCCAGAUGGGAUUAGCUUGUAGGCGGGGUAACGGCCCACCUAGGCGACGAUCCCUAGCUGGUCUGAGAGGAUGACCAGCCACACUGGAACUGAGACACGGUCCAGACUCCUACGGGAGGCAGCAGUGGGGAAUAUUGCACAAUGGGCGCAAGCCUGAUGCAGCCAUGCCGCGUGUAUGAAGAAGGCCUUCGGGUUGUAAAGUACUUUCAGCGGGGAGGAAGGUGNUGAGGUUAAUAACCUCAGCNAUUGACGUUACCCGCAGAAGAAGCACCGGCUAACUCCGUGCCAGCAGCCGCGGUAAUACGGAGGGUGCAAGCGUUAAUCGGAAUUACUGGGCGUANAGCGCACGCAGGCGGUCUGUUAAGUCAGAUGUGAAAUCCCCGGGCUU
rnacentral:rRNA from 1 species